GAGGAAAGUCCAUGCUCGCACAAUCUGAGAUGAUUGUAGUGUUCGUGCCUAGCGAAGUCAUAAGCUAGGGUAGUUUGGUUACGACUGGACUAACGGCAGGGAACACACCUAAGUUUACAAUUGUAAAUAUGGUGUAAAUACCUUGAAAGUGCCACAGUGACGGAGUCUUUAUAGAAAUAUAAAGAGUGGAACGGGGUAAACCCCACGAGCGAGAAACCCAAAAUUAGGUAGGGG
rnacentral:RNase_P_RNA from 1 species